AGCUGCAGCGAAACAACCUGGAGUUAGAGAACAUCAAGGAUAAGAUCAAGGAAGUUCUUGGCUUGUUGGCAACAUUGUGAGAUCAUGACCAAGCAUGACAAGAAGGGAGGCUCGUCAACCACCUACCAGCACACCUAUCAUGACCGAUGAUGAGACGCUGAAGGUUACGAGAGAUGAUGCUGGAGAGAUGCCCUUCCUGUAGGUCUGCACAUAAGCGGAAGUUCCUAGGUAUGCAAGAUUUGAUGGUUAAAAUGGUUGAUGUGAUGUGAAUGAGUGUAUGGAAACUGGUUGUUGUGAUGUGAAUGACUGUAUGUAGUUUCACGUGUUCUGUUCUGUAUAGCAUAUUGUAAUAAACUUAUUUUAGCUGUUAUUUGAAGAUUUUCAUAUGCUUUCUCUCUUCUGUCUAUUUGAUAUAUACAUAUAUA